rnacentral:lncRNA from 10 species
AUUUUUUUGAGACAGAGUCUUGCUCACCCAGGUUGGAGUGCAGUGGCAUGAUCUUAGCUCACUGCAACCUCUGCCUCCUGGGUUCAGGUAGUUCUCAUGCCUCAGCCUCCCAUGUAGCUGGGACUACAGGCACCUGCCAUCAUGCCCAGCUAAUUUUUUAAGGUAUUUUUAGUAGAGAUGGGGUUUUGCCAUGUUGGCCAGGCUAGUCUCGAACUCUACAAAUAUGUGGAAAUUAAACAACGCACCGUACACAACCAAUGGGUCAAAGAGGAAAGUAUAAGGGAAAUAGGAAAACACUUUUAAUACCAGUCGUUCUCUAACUCUUCCCAAAAAAUGAAGAGACGGGAACACUUUGUAAUUAAUUCCGUGAGGUCAGCAUUACUCUGAUUCCAAAGGCAGUCAAAGAUAUUAGAAGAAAGUUACAGGCCAAUAUUCCUUAAUAAUAUAGGUUAAAAAAUUCUCCACAAAAUUGGAAAUUGAACUCAACAGCAUAUUAGCAAACUCUAAUAAACUCCUCUGCAAGGAGAGAAUGUUUUGCAAACUUAGCAAUGAACAGGAGUUAGGACAAAUGGACAUAAAAUAUUAAGAAGAACAUAAAACUCAAAGCCAAUUAGUCACUAUAUACAUGUAUGUGAGAGAGUAAUUUAGCUUUUCUAUUAUUUUUCCACAAUGAAUACUCAUUAAAAUUACUCCCAAUAAACAUCUUAUGUAUUAUCAGAUACAUGUGGCAAAUUAAAAAGUAAAUGUGGCCAGAAACCCUUCAGAUAGUUUCAUUGAAAUGGGGUAAUCUAGUGAUGUAUUAUUCCCUUGGUGAUGACAAUGGGCAUUGCUUGGAAAGCUAGGAAAAGUGCAUUUGUCCAGGUAAAGAGAUUAAUUGUCAUUCAACAAUAAAUUUAUUAAUUGCCGACCGAGUGUCAGAUGCUAGAACUACAAAAAACUCUUUAAAAAAUGUUUUCUACCACCUGGAAGAAUGUGGAUCUGUAAUAAUCUCUUGGGCAUAGUAUUUUGAUAGGUUAUCUAAUCAUUCAGAUUAAUGCCAGUUAGAGAAAUGAUGUGAGAAUUUGUGGAAAUGGAAUAGAAUGUAAGCCAUAAAAGGAUAGGUAACCCAAUUCUUACAGAUCUGUAACCAGGCCUAGAAUCACUUC